AGUACUGUACACCAUUUCUUCCGUUUAACAUGUUGAAACGGAAAUCAGACAAACAAUAACUUUUGAAAAUUGUUAAUUUAAAGUGCCUUUCUUUUUUUCCAGAUAUGGCAAAUUUCCUCAUAUUUUAUUUGUUAAUGUUGUCAUUGACUGGAUGUAUCUUUUCAAAGUCCGUCUCUUAUGGGGAGCUAGGAAACCAGGAUGUUUUCGUCGAAAUCGAAGAAAAUGGAAUACUGGAAAAGAAUAAAGAUUAUUUUCGGCAAAAGAGAGCUGCUUCGCAAGGGAUACCACGGAUCUUCGCCCGUUUAGAAAUGUGCAUACGACAGCCAUCCCGAUGUUGGGGGCUGUUCCAAACGUCUACAACGAGGGUCAUUGUACAAUUGAUUAGCUCGUAAUCUACAAGCAUCACGUGACUCCAUUGACUUAUGACGUAAUCACCAUCUGGUCAGAAAGUCAACACAGUGUACAGUCGGAUGUUUGGAUAAUAAAAGUGAAAACAUGAUAUGUCAUAAAAUUGAUUGUAAAUAAUCUGAUAUAUUUUUAUUAUUAUAAAUACAUCUAGAGAUGUUUCCUGUCAUCUGGUGAAUAUCAGUUUGAACCAUACAUUUUUAUUUACAUUUGAAUGGUGGUGAAUCACUGUGGGGAAACGGACACCGGAUAUAGCCCAGAAAGUGAUCAAUCAAUAAACGUUUUAUUUUGACACACGGUAAGUUUUUUACCAUUUUUGGUAUUUAAUGGUGAUAUAUUUAUCAAAAUCGAAGAGUUUCGAAUAGCUUGAUCAUAUGCAUAUACAAGUAUGAUGGAAAUGUUUCUCCACUCUUGUAUAAUGGCACAAUUCUCGCUGUAAGUUGCAUGAUCGCUCAUAAAUGUUCAGUAAUGUGGUAGGAUUUCAAACAUAAAACAACAAAUAGAAAAUAAGAAUAAAAACUGAAUCGAGCGAUUUUAUUAUAAUUACAUCGUCCAGUAUUGUGUAAGAUAUCAAUACGAUAUGUUUUGUUGUUACGGAGAUAUUUAUACUUUCUGAUGACCUAAAAGUGUAUUGGAGAUAGACGAAGCAAAUAAAUAACUGCACAGGGGAUAGCUAUUAAGUGGACCGAGGAUAGUAACGAAAUAUUUUGAAUAAUGAGACUGCGAUAAUGAUUACGGCUUUUUACCUCUACUUAAAGUCAUGGAGAUAUGAUUUCACCAUGGUCCAUAUCGAGGGAUGAGAACAAAAGUGCUUUUUAAAAAUCUGAAUGUACUUAAACAGUUUCACUCUGUCCUUCUCGGUAUGCUCGUCUGUCUUUUCGUCCACUUGUCUGACUGUUCGGCCUUCCAGAGCAAUACAUGCAAUGGUUGGUCAAAUUGAGUAGAUAUUGCAUUAACAGAUGGGGUUCAGUCAGUUAGUUCCCUUAGUGUCUAAUGUGCAAUUUGCAAUUCAAUCUAAAUAGACUUUGUCCACAAAAAUAAGUAUCUUUUUUUUUUCAAAUCAGUUAAGAAUGGAUAAACAAUAUUGAGUUCAAGAGUAUAGAUUAGUUAAACCAUGGUGUGUGUUUUCACAAGCCUCAACUUUCGAGUCAGAAAAUAUUUGAAUAUGUUAUCAAGUUUAAAUCUGAUUUAUCGAGGGACUCAAACCAUAUAAAACAUAUGGUCUUAGAAUUGACGUGGGGUUUGCUAUAUAUGGUAUAGCUUUGUAAAUCACCUAGGCACGUUUUACACACAGAAGUCAUCAGUUAGAAAUGAGAUAUUGUGAUCUAAUUUGGUACACUUGACGCUUUUUCUAAGUCCGUGCUGUGCGUUUUGUUACAUAGAACAGAGAAACUGGUCUCUGUACGUUAACUUCAGAGAGAAACUAAAUAUUGCGACCAAUUCUAAUAUUUAAGCAGCUUGCUUAUAGACGUUGAUUUUGAAGAGCAUGGAUCAAAUUCAUUGUUACUUAGAUUAAAUUCGAAAUACAAUUAUAGGUCAUAUCGCGACUUUCCAAUUUUGAUGAUGGAAGAAGACACCAGGUGCCCCUCUGUGCAUUAUUUCAUCACGGGCAGGCACCUGGGUAGAACCAUCGACCUUCCGUAAGCAAGCUGGAUGGCUUACCCACAUGAAGAAUUCAAUGCCCCGAGUGAGGCUCGAACCCAUAUCGAUGAGGUGCAAAUGAUUUGUAGUCGGCGACCGUAACCACUCGGCCACGGAGGCCCCUCAAGAUAACGUGUAGUUAAUAUCUUGAUCCGAAAUUCACAGAAAAAUUAUGUUACGGGUAACACGGAUCAAACAGUUACAAUCGGCAAUAUAUUGGAUCGUUAUAUAGAUCCAUGUUUUAACUGUCAUCUCAUUGUGGUAAGACCUAUUAAUUAUUCGAAUAAUUGGUAACGAAGAUGACAUUAAAGGUUGUUGUCCCUGGCCCUAUCCGCCUCUAGUAAAAUGUGAUGUCUUGCUACAACUUGCACACCAUUUGGAUACUAGUGUUAGACGUACGUAAGGUAAAUAUUUCUAAAGACUGGAGUAAAAGAAGAAGAUUGAAAAAGACAUACAUUGUACAUGAACAGAGUUACUAUCAGUCAGAAUACAGGGUUUUUGUCCCGGCAUUCUACAUGCUAUCCUCGGUACACAUUUGUCAUCUUGGGAACUAUCCUCAGUACAUAAUACGGCUAUCCCCAGUAUAUUAUUGUAAACAUUUCUAAGGGCAUAUCUUUAACUGUUUAAAAGUUACAUUGCCAGUUCUUACAAUAAAAAUAGUUUAGCUUAUGCUUGUAAAAUCGUACGAUUCAGAAUUUUAAUUUAUUCGAAAUAUUACUUGAAAAUAACAAUAUUUGUUGAAAUUCUGUGAGUUUUGGGGUGAUCGUCUCAGAUUUUCAGUAAAAGUUUUCAUGCUCUGCUAAAUCGUCAGCAUUAUACAAUAAACCAUAGUCCAAACUUAGCAUUCAGCUAUUAGUUCAAACACUGGUUUCAUUUGUGGAUACGGUAGAUAAGCGUUAAUACAGCAAGAUCUUACUUCUGGUGAAGAAAAACGACUGCACAUUUGCCUGUUUACUUAUCACUUUCUGAGCUAUAUCCUAUCCGGUGUCCGUUUCCCCACAGUGUGAAUGGUAGUGAUAUAAAAGCUUAUUGAAAACUCUUAUUUUAUUUAUCCAUUAUGUAAUAGUUAAGCAUUGGUAAAACAAAAAAGUACAGAUAUGCAGGCUGGUACUAGCUUUAAGCCAGGGCAUUCUAGGUUGAACUUAAAUUGCAUAUGUUUAUAUGACUUCAGCCCAGGAUUAUAUUCACAUUUCAAGGAGUGAACAGUUUUCAUACCUCUCAGGAAUCCAGUAUCUAGUUUUAAAGCACCGCGAACGUAAAAAUGGUCUAAAAUCAGAAUUAUAUUGCAAUUCUAAAUGCAUAUUUAUUUAUCCCUAUUGCAAAAUUUUCUUGUUUAGUUGCUACGCUAGAGAAGAACAGAAUGACGUCACAGAGUACAAACUUAGAGGAUAUCAAAUAAUGUUUUUAUUAGUUCAUAUGGUGAUGCGCUUGCGACCAGGUUGCAUUUUGGCGGCUAAGAUGUAAAACCAUCAAUAACUCUGAAUAAAAUUACAUACAUUCCUGCAAUAGAAAAUCACAUUAACUCAGAAAACAUAAUUUAUAACACUUAAAAUUUAACGACGGUCAGAUUUUCUAUAUACAAUGUAGAAAUAAGAAGGGCAAGUACAUUUUUUACUUAAUAACAAAAAUACUAAAAAUACAAAUACUCUUUAGGUACCAACUAAUAUCAUGUUCAACCUUUUCGAUUCGUUUGUUAGUUCAGUCCUUUCGUACUCAGGCGAAGUAUGGGGACUAUCAGGUGCAGAAUGCAUAGAGAGGGUACAAAGGAAAUUCAUAAACCUUUGGUGUUAAAAUGUCUGCUAACAAUGCACGGGUAUAUGGAGAGUCUGGUCGAUUUCCAUUGAUAAUUGACAGGAAAGUAAGAAUUAUUAAAUAUUUUAUAAAAUUAAGUAACAGAAGGGACAACUGUAUUUUGAACUCGAUAUUUGACAAGUUGAUAAGAUUAACGGAAAAUGGCAUAGACAACUGGUUAUUACAUGUAAAAAAAAUAUUGAGUGUGACAGGAUUUGGAGAAAUCUGGACUUUACCAUCGUCAGUCAGUAUUGAUAGUUUCACACCUGUUUUAAAGCAGAGAUUAAAGGACAUGUGCAUAACAGACUGGCGUGCAAGUAUCAAUGCGUAUCCAUCGUUAUGCCUGUAUAAGGAAAUGAAACAGGCUUUUGGCAUACCAGAGUAUCUGAUACUAGUGAAUACUUUAAAAUAUAGACGUGCUAUUGCAAAAAUACGUAUGGGGUCACAUGAUUUAAUGAUAGAAAAGGCAAGACAAUAUGAAAAUGUAGUCCCAAGAGAACAAGGCAAAUGUGUUCUGUGUGAUAUGAAUGACAUUGAGGAUUAAUUUCAUUUUGUUAUGAAAUCGGCAAGUUAUAUACAGAUAUAAGGAAAAAAUAUAUUUAAUAAGUAAUUACUAUUGUAAAUAUCCAAGUGUAUAUAAAUUCAUUCAACUUUUAAAUUCAACAAAUAAAAACGUACUUAUUAAAUUAGCAGUGUAUAUCACUAAGGCCUUCAAGCUGAGACAAUCUUUUUUCAGGGACUUAACUUGAAAAAUAUACGAUAUGUAAACGCUGUAUACACUUUUGUAACAUGUUUGUCUAUUCUCGCCGUGCGUGUAUCUGUUUUUCUUGUUUUCUCUUUUGUUUCCUGAUUUUUAGUCUAUAUUUCAUGUUUUAUGUAUACUAUUGCUGAGUAAUUCAAAUACCACGUAUGCCAGAUAUGUUUAAUAUUGUAUGUAUAUGUCGAUGAGCUGUUAUAUGCUUAAGACUAAUAAAAGAUAUGUUAUGUUACGUUAUGUUAUGUAACUAAAAAUAAGAAUCCUUAGGUGCAAGAAGUUUUUCCAUUUUCAACAUUUGAUUAAUCACAUGCUAUUUGUUGAAAUAAAUUUAUCUUUAGUUUCGAUUGACCCACGCCAUGGUUUUUGAUGCCAUCAUUACGUCAUUUUUUCCAUUUUAUUUUCUAUAUCAAAUGUGUAAAAUGCCAUACAUGCGUUUAUUUAAGACACCUUAGGUGCAAACGAAUUCUUAUUUUAAACGUUUAAAUGAAUAUAUCUUUUGAAUGAUAUUUAUGAAUGUCAUUCUCUUAAUUAACUUUAAAACUCUUUAUUCAUUUGCAUACUUUAAAGUAAAUCAAAAUGAUCUAUGGUAUGGUACGUUGGGUGAAAUAAAAUAACAACACGAUUGGGUUUUCUUGAAACAGUUAACGGAAACACGUAAUAAGGAUGUUUUACCCAGUAAUUAUUUUGAAUGAUUUCUUAGAAAUAAAUGUUACUACAGUAAUUACGUUUCCUCUAAUUGGAUAUGAUUUUUUUGUAAAAUCAAAGUUUCGGAAAACUGAUGGGGCGGAGAAAUUGUUUUGUUAUGGUUUUGCAGGGAAAACGAUAUUUACAAACGUUAUAUUCAUGGGGUUUGUGUAAACUGACUUGAACACUGGCGAACUUACUUGUCUUUUUUAAUUUGGCUUAACGUUGUUCCUGAAGUACAGCUUUCUGGAAGGCUUAAAUUGUCCCGUGGAUGCACAUAUAUAUAUGUAUAUAUGUACAGAUGUACAGAGAAAAGUUUCAACGGUUUACCAACAGCAUAUAAUAAUUAUCCGCUUCCAGUUGGUUUUUCCAACCAUGUAUUUGGUGAAUUCGUCUCGGAUGAACGCAAAGUUUACAUUACUCAUGUACGUUAAUGAUACAUAGUUUAAAGGUAUAAUAGCACAGUAUUUCGGUCACAAAGAACAACAGCAGUUUUCACUGCAAAGCAAGACUAUUCUCCGUCUUUACCGUUUUCCUGUCACCGAAAGCACACGAUUCGAUGCGGAUAGUCGAAUAAUGGUUAUUGUUGGUUUACAAGUUAAUUAAAGCAUACAAAGGCUGUAUUAUUUCGCUCUUUAAUUCAUAAUGCCAAUAUUAAACGCACCACUGAAUUUAUAUGAUACACACUUUGUUAUAUCUCUGUUAGGUUUAGUAUGAUGGUGUGAUUGUGCAAAAAUUUUGUUUGGUGAAGGAGGUAGAACUACUUUUAAGCACUACAUUGUUAGACUUUUGCAUUAAGGAAUGACUGGUUUUUGAAAGUCUGUAUAAGUUUAUGUUAGCACUGAGGCGGAUCCCCCGCACCAAAUAAACGGGGAUUUUAAAUUGCCUCACAUUUAUAUGCGGAUCUCUUUAAUCAUGGGUAAAUAUCUCAAAAACAUACACAAGGCCAUAUUAUAGAUCAUAUGUAAAAGUUCGAGAUACAUCCAGCAGUCUCUAGCCUUACUGUUUCCGGAUAAACUCUAGUAACAUCAAAUUCUCGAUCAAACAAAAUAAUUUGCUUAUAUAAUCGCAACACUAUUUCAGAGAUUUAUCGUUAAUACAUUUUUAUACAUUGAUUUUUCUGCUUAGUAUUUUGUGUAUUUUAUGCGAAAAGGAAAAAGAAAAUUGUACUUUUUGUGGCUGCUUUCCGCCAAAAAUCAUACAGGCGACUGCCUCGGUGUGCCUAAUAGUAGUUCAACUACUGACAAAGUAUUAUAUUUAACAUUAUUAUACCUUUAUUCAUGUUGUUUAAAAUAUAUGUGUUUAAGGUAUCCGAUCCAUAAAUAGGUAAUAUUUCGAUGCCUGGUGAACCCAUGUUGUUGUUUUUUUGGUAUCAUUUGAAAAAGUUGUGUCAGCUGAACAAGAAUUAGUAAAUAAGAUGACCAUACAUAAUAUGCAAGAGUUAUAUUUUUGACUGCGAAAUGACAAAUCUUACACUGUAAUAACUGCAUUUCUGUUGAAGCAUCAUUGAAGAUUAUAAAUUAAAAAAAAAAAAUAAAAUAAAAGUUCUGUAAUAUAUUUUGUCAUAUAAUUCAUACUUCUUUUUCAGUAGAUAAUACACUUUCAAAUGGUACUAAAUUAUAUUAGCUCACAGGCAUCAUUUUUGAAUAUUUCAACCUUUAGCCUGUUAAAAUUGAGCUGGAUUAUUAUUCAAUUUGGGUUGUACCAUUUAUUAUUUGAAGGGGUGUUCACUGAAAUUUACUUACCGGGUAGCAAACAGAGCAGGCUGACUUUGGUCUGCACUGGCCGCAAAGGCAAAAUCAUUCACCGCCAACAGGCUAAAUGUUAACAGCACUGUUAUAUAGAACUUGCUUAUUUGUCGAUCGGAUACCUUAAUAUGUUAUUUUGUAAAUGGAAUUCAUAUGUUUUCUCAUAGCCAUUUGGUUCAUAUAUGUCUCUAUACAGUUUCCCGUUAUUGCGAGACUUAUGCAUUUGUUUAAUAAAUCUUGAAGUCUU
rnacentral:lncRNA from 1 species